ACAGCAGUCGCCGCGGUAAUACGAAGGGGGCUAGCGUUGUUCGGAAUUACUGGGCGUAAAGCGCACGUAGGCGGAUAUUUAAGUCAGGGGUGAAAUCCCAGAGCUCAACUCUGGAACUGCCUUUGAUACUGGGUAUCUUGAGUAUGGAAGAGGUGAGUGGAAUUCCGAGUGUAGAGGUGAAAUUCGUAGAUAUUCGGAGGAACACCAGUGGCGAAGGCGGCUCACUGGUCCAUUACUGACGCUGAGGUGCGAAAGCGUGGGGAGCAAACAGGAUUAGAUACCCGCGUAGUCCCUGUCUCUUAUAC
rnacentral:rRNA from 1 species